GAUGAACGCUAGCUACAGGCUUAACACAUGCAAGUCGAGGGGCAGCAUUAUCGAAGCUUGCUUUGAUAGAUGGCGACCGGCGUACGGGUGCGUAACACGUAUCCAAUCUACCCAUGGCUCAGGGAUAGCCUUUCGAAAGAAAGAUUAAUACCUGAUGGUCUUACAUGGAGACAUCUCUUUGUAAGUAAAGAUUUAUCGGCGAUGGAUGAGGAUGCGUCUGAUUAGAUAGUAGGCGGGGUAACGGCCCACCUAGUCGACGAUCAGUAGGGGUUCUGAGAGGAAGGUCCCCCACAUUGGAACUGAGACACGGUCCAGACUCC
rnacentral:rRNA from 1 species